GACGAGUGGCGGACGGGUGAGUAAAGCUUGGGGGAUCUGGCUCAUGGAGGGGGAUAACUGCGGGAAACUGCAGCUAAUACCGCGUAGAAUCGGAAGAUGAAAGGGUGGGACCUUAGGGCCACUUGCCAUGAGAUGAACCCAAGUGGGAUUAGCUAGUAGGUAGGGUAAAGGCUUACCUAGGCGACGAUCUCUAACUGGUCUGAGAGGAUGACCAGUCACACUGGGACUGAGACACGGCCCAG
rnacentral:rRNA from 1 species